AACAGGAAGACCCAACAGAACUAACUGCUCUUUAUUCUCUUCUGGCCCUCUUCUCUCUUUAGCCUCAACAGAGCCUCAAGAAACACAUCUGUCAGAAGAGCUUCAGAAACCACAUGACCGAGUGCUGACAGAGACGCUACCAGAACUCACGUGCUGUCUGUUGGCAUGGAAAGGGUUCAGAAAUCUCCAAAGAUAAUGGAGCUCUGACGCUACAGAACCCAGAACCAUUCCCAAGAGAAACCCUAGACACAUACUGCUUCAAAAAUGGCCCAACGGCAAUCCCCCAAAGAUGG